rnacentral:rRNA from 1 species
CUUUUGGGUCUUGUAAUUGGAAUGAGUACAAUUUAAACCUCUUAACGAGGAACAAUUGGAGGGCAAGUCUGGUGAACAAACAGCUUCCAUGCUGCUGACGCCAGAGAUAGUCGGGCACUGCGCGUAUGCAAGGUGCUACGCCGGCUAGUCGACGUACCUACUGAAUUGAUGGGCAGGUACCGGCAAGACAACCUGGAUCGGGGAAGGCUAAGGCGCUCGCACGAGUGCUAUGCUGAUCCCGAGCAGAGCUUUCGCGGAGCGAUCCACGAUCAUAGCCUGUGUAGAGCACGGAAAGGUGUCGGCCUACUCACGUAGUAGGCUUAAGGGACGUGCCAUUCCCAUCCGAAAGGGUGGCUGCCAGCCAGAGCGCCCAUCACGCGAAGGCUGGCAGGCUCGAACAGCUCGUUUGGGCGAGAGAGAUAAGGCCAGCAGCCGCGGUAAUUCCAGCUCCAAUAGCGUAUAUUAAAGUUGUUGCAGUUAAAAAGCUCGUAGUUGAACCUUUGGCCUGGCUGGCAGGUCCGCCUCACCGCGUGCACUUGUCCGGCCGGGCCUUCUCUUCUGGAGAACCGCAUGCCCUUCACUGGGUGUGCUGGGGACCAGGACUUUUACUUUGAAAAAAUUAGAGUGUUCAAAGCAGGCCUUUGCUCGAAUACGUUAGCAUGGAAUAAUAGAAUAGGACGUGCGGUCCUAUUUUGUUGGUUUCUAGGACCGCCGUAAUGAUUAAUAGGGACAGUCGGGGGCAUCAGUAUUCAAUUGUCAGAGGUGAAAUUCUUGGAUUUAUUGAAGACUAACUACUGCGAAAGCAUUUGCCAAGGAUGUUUUCAUUAAUCAGUGAACGAAAGUUAGGGGAUCGAAGACGAUCAGAUACCGUCGUAGUCUUAACCAUAAACUAUGCCGACUAGGGAUCGGGCGGUGUUUUUAUUUUGACCCGCUCGGCACCUUACGAGAAAUCAAAGUGUUUGGGU